GGCACCUCGAUGUCGGCUCGUCACAUCCUGGGGCUGGAGAAGGUCCCAAGGGUUCGGCUGUUCGCCGAUUAAAGUGGCACGCGAGCUGGGUUCAGAACGUCGCGAGACAGUUCGGUCCCUAUCUGUUGUGGGCGUUGGAAGCUUGAGAGGGGCUGACCUUAGUACGAGAGGACCGGGUUGGACAAACCUCUAGUGUACCUGUUGUGGCGCCAGCUGCAUCGCAGGGUAGCUACGUUUGGUGAAGAUAAGCGCUGAAAGCAUCUAAGCGCGAAACUUACCUCAAGAUGAGGCUUCCUUUAAGAGUCCCCGUAGACCACGGGGUUGAUAGGCUGCAGGUGUAAAGGUGGUAACAUCAUAGCUGAGCAGUACUAAUUACUCGUAAGCUUCUUUAU
rnacentral:rRNA from 1 species